UACGUAGGGUGCAAGCGUUGUCCGGAAUUAUUGGGCGUAAAGAGCUCGUAGGCGGUCUGUCGCGUCGAAUGUGAAAAACCCCGGGGGCUCAACCCCCGGGCCUGCAUUCGAUACGGGCAGACUAGAGUUCGGUAGGGGAGUCUGGAAUUCCUGGUGUAGCGGUGAAAUGCGCAGAUAUCAGGAGGAACACCGGUGGCGAAGGCGGGACUCUGGGCCGAUACUGACGUGAGGAGCGAAAGCGUGGGGGAGCAAACAGG
rnacentral:rRNA from 1 species